AAAUAUAUAUAUUUUUUAAUCUAGUGAGACAGAAGUUUCAUGGGCAACUUGAUUCCAAAGUAGUAGAUGUUUGGAAAGGCAGAAUGUGAGUCUGGCCUUUCUGGCUGUUGGAUUUGGACUAUUAAGCACCUACUGGGCUUUAUAUGAGGCACUAUGUGAGGAACAGAGAACAACAUGAUGAGCACUUCAGGUCAAGGUAGACAGACAGCAGACGUACAGAGACAGACCAGCCCCCCAAAACUGUGAUCACUCUGCGUAUGGCUGGGCGGGCAGCCAUGAUGAGGGGUGUGGGGAGGUGGCGAACUCUGGACACACCGCACUGAAGAGAAGCUGUAUCUGUCCCUUUUUUCACCACUCUAACAAAAGUGCCUUAAAGAAGGUUUGCCUUGGCUUACUAUGGGAGGCAAGGCCCAUAUUGGAGGGCAAGUCAGGCCCUGGAAGGGAAAGGCCAUUUCCGUCCCCAGUCCGGAAGCUGAGAGAAGAAUGCUCUCCUCCUUGCUUUCCCUUUCUUUUCAGGCCAGGACCCCCACUCACGGAUAGCGCCUCCCACACUCAGAGUAGGUCUUCCUUUCUCAGUUAAGCCUCUCUGAAAAUGAAAAACACCCUUCACAGACACACCCAGAGGUGCGUUCCCAUGGAGAUUCUAAAUGCAGUCAAGUUGACAAAGAAGAUUAGCAACCACAGAUUCCAACAUGAAGGAACAGCUAGCAAAGGCCAAGGACGGAUGCCGCGGGGAUAAGAGCAUAGUGAUGGAGGUGCCUGAGGCCCGUGUGAUUCCUGAUUUAGCUGCAUGAGCUGUUGGCGGCAACUCCUCACUGAGGGCCUGUGACACAGGAUUAUCACUUUUAUGAAGCCCUGUGCCUGGAGAAAGAAGACAAAAAAAAAGACAUUCAUCAGAAUUCCGUUUCCCAGAGGCUGAGUAUCCACCCUGGAGUGUGGCUGUGUGAGGAAAACAGAGCCAGUUCACUGUUGUUUCAAUGUUUAGCCUUGGUCUUUGCGGGGAAGAGGCAACUGUGGCUGUGGCUGCAUAUGUUUGCCACGUGUUCUUGAUUCCUGGCCAUGAGGAGGCAUUCUGGAGCAAAUAGAAGGGCUACAUGGAAGAAGGAACAGUGUAACCACCUCUGAUAUAACCACAGCAUUGGGCUCUAUGGAAGAAGGAACAGUGUAACCGCCUCUGAUAUAACCACAGCAUCGGGCUCUAUGGAAGAAGGAACAGUGUAACCGCCUCUGAUGUAACCACAGCAUCAUUACUGAACCUGCAUCGUGCCCAUCUUGAGUCAGACGCUGUGCCUAGUGUUUCCUAAAGCAUUGUGUCUGGUUCCCAAAACAACCUGAGGUAAGUGUGCUUGUCCCUGCCCUUGAGAUGGAGAAGCUGGGGUUGCAUGGACUAUAACUGUAUCUUCCUCCUGAAGGGCAGGCCCUCUUUCCGAGUCUUAGUGAGUGCCGACAUGUUAAGCCCAGCAUGUACAAAAUUUCUCUCUACCUCUGUUCUCCUCACUCUGAAUUCUUCCCAGUGAACAGCUGCAGACUUAAACCUUGUUUUAGUUUACUUCCAAUCACCGUAAGAAAGACCAUGACCUAAAGCAACCUGGGAAGGAAAGGGUUUAUUUGGCUUAUGCAUCCAGAUCACUGUCCAUCAUUGAGGGAAUCAAAUCAGGAACUUAAGCAGGGCAGGAAUCUGGAGGCAGGAACUGAAGCAGAGACCAUGGCUUGUUCCCCAUGGCUUGCUCAGCCUGCUUCUUAUAUAGCCCAGGACCACCAACCCAGGGAUAUCACUGCCCAUGGUGGGUUGUCUCCCUACCCCCAAUCAUUAACCAAGAAAAUACCACACAGACAUACCCAUAGGCCUAGCUGAUGGAGGCAUUUUCUCCACCCAAGUCCCCUCUUCCCAGAUGACCCAAGAAGGUUGUGUCAAGGUGACAAGAAUUCACAGCGCAAGCCUCUUAGAUCCAGGGGGUAAUCUGGGACUACCCUGCUCCAAAUUCUUCACUAGUUCCUCUGUGCUCAAACAGCUAUGUACAAAAGUCCUCACCUUGGCAUCCCAAGUUCCUUUCCACUCCUUUAAUAAACCUGGCUUUAUUGCCUAUUCUCUCAAACCCCAGCCAGCUGCUCACACCCCAUCUCAGCUGCCUGCUCCUGCUCUUCCUCUUGCUGUUCACAUCUGCUCACUCGUUAACAUCUGCUUACCCGUUGACAUCCCACGGACCUCAGGGUAGACUGGCCAGACUUUCCCUGUCACUUGCUUUUCGUCCCUCAGUCGGAAUAUUCCUCUUGGUCUUGCAGCCCUGACUGAAUUUGUGUGCGUCCCUGUGACCCUCUGUGCUUGCCUUUCCCAACCCCAUGAAACGGUAAACUCCCCGACAGUGAGCUGUUUCCUCCUCCCCUUUGCUCCCCCUAAGGAAGAAACAGGAGGAAACAGCUAUCUGAGAUCUUUGAAUUGAUGGUAGCACUUCCCCUCCUCAGAGCACCAGACUCAAGCAAUUCAUGUUGAGAUACAGAGUUCAGCCUGGGAACAGAAUAGAAUUGCACCUUGCACGAGCUUAAGGCCACGCUCCUCUUUCAUCCUGCAUCCUUGACCUGGAGAAGCUGAGAAAGACAAUUACUGUAAUUCACUGUGUGAGAGUAAGACAAGGUCCUGGGACAAGGGCGUAGCUAAUCAAGACUCUGGGAAGCUGUUUCAUUUUACACAGGCUUUGCCUGAAACUGGGAGACAGUGUUUGAUGGGCAGGUAAGACGUUGUACUUGCUCUGUAGAGUCAUUGUGAAGCCUUUCAUAGUUCCAAGUGGAAGGUGGUUAGGGAUAAACACAAGGCAGAUGACAGAGUGUGCAUUGUGUAGUGUACACACACUUGUGUACAUAUGGUAUGUCCACAGUGGCUCUCGGCCUGUGAAGGGUGUAUGCUGUCUUAUUCCUGACUUUCAGCCCACUGGCACAGGAGGGAUCAGGGGUUGUCAUGGGCUUUAGGGUCCCCUCCACACAGUUCUACUGAGCACUCAGUCACACAAGAACCCCGAGGCACAUGAGAGGCCAUACACUUUGCUUCUGUCAUAAUUUUUUUUUUCCUGAAAGAGAAAAAAGCUUGUGUUUGUAUAAUUUUCUCCUUUGCUUUGGCCUACUUCAGGCUGUCAGCCUGGUCCAGUCAUCUUCUUUCCAAAUUAAUAUACAUGUCAUCACCCCUCUUUAAAAGUAAAGUCCAGUCUGCCAGCUCCAAUGCCCUUAAAAACUGUUACAGAACUGGCUCAGCUUCUGCCCUUUUGGUAAAGGGUCCAAUUCAUUUGAUUACUGUUCAAAACCUUGGCAUCAUUUGUAAUUCUUCUGAUUUGAUAGUUGCCAGCCCUACAGACCUAGUGUGUGUUUGUGUGUGAGUGCGUGUAUAUGCACACUAAGCCCAUUAUCUUAUGCAUACAUACAUACAUGCUGGCCUAGCUCAGCUACAUCCCUGGCCUUUUGUUACUUGAGUUCUUACCAAGCUGACCUUUGAACUUACUGUUUGUCUUGAUUUGGUUUUUUUGGUUGGUCAUGGUGCUAUUGAAUCCAGGCCUUGCACAUGCUCGGCAAAUGGUCUAUCACUGGUCUAUAGCCCUGGCCCUCAAAUCCCUUCUUCAAUCAAAACUUCCUAGCAUUUCUUUGGUUGCAGCUUCCAACAUCUAUUUCCAAAGCCAAGUUUAGCUUAAACUCAUCACUUAGGAAUUGGGGAAAGGGUUGAGUUGGGAGAGUUAUUAUCUUUCCAAAACACAGUCCGCCUCUUCUACCUUAUGAUUUUAGCUGCUUCUGGGGAGCUAGGGACGAUAGCACGAAAAACCCUAUGGGUGCACUUGUACACACUGCUUAGCAUCACUCAGUCCAGCCCUUGCUUCAUGGACACUCACAAUCACCUCCAACCAAUUCCUUUGGCUUCUACUUCCCCUACCUGCUGUUCUGAAAAAACUGCUUCUGACCUGGGACCUUCCACCAAAUAUUCUUCAGCUCCUCCUCGCUGAUCUCAGGUCAAGUCCAAGAUCGACUCUGUAAUCAGAUAUCUCCUAGUGUCUGCUGCAAACCUGGCCACCCCGGCAGCCUCCUUGCUUUCAUCCCUUCUCAUUCCACAAACUCCAACUCUCUGCCCAGGACAGUAAGUGGUGCCCUCUGUGCUCCAUUUAGUCUGUGUCCUCUCCCAAGCCUCUGCCUCCAGCCUAGAUCUCUUCCCACCCAGACACUUCACUGUCCAACUACUUGCUACAUGACUUACGGAUUUAAAGCGUCCAGCUCUAUGUCACCACCCCAAACCCAACCUCAUCCACUCAAUCUAGACACCUGGGGGUCAUCCUUUCCUAUCUGACCCCAACCCCUAUGCACAUCCGGUAAACCAUCAAGUCAUCUCAUGUAUAUCUUACUUCCGUACAUGAGCUCUGUCUCCCAUCUUGGGAGCAGACCCAGUUUCCCACUCCUUUUCUUCUGGUCUCCUGGGUCCCACUUUGCCCUGUGUAAUCAGUUCGUCCUCUACAUUGCCAACAAUGUAGUUGUUUCUAGAAUACAACUCUAGAUCCCCUCACAGGCUCUCCUCCUGCCACCUGCAGAGUUCAGAAUAGUGUCCCCCGGCUUCCUGAACCACCUCUUCUUAGGGUUCUCACCUCCUGAACCUUGCUCCCCAUGCUUAGAACAAUUUCAUUUCUUUGUUUUGGUUAACUUCUGGCUCCUUGGUGAUCGAAUGCCUUCAUCCAGAACCUUCCCUCUCCUACUCACCUGGGAGCUAUGGAUUCUAAACACCUCUUCUGUGUCUACUAUUGUCUCGACAAUAUUUACCAUUAUCAUGAGGUUUGGAGUUUUGCUUUUACCUUUGAUUCUCCCUGCUUGUGACUCUUCCUGGGGACUUGAUUUCUAUUCAUCCCAGAUAGAGAGGGUAAUAUAAGAAUGAAGAAAUGAUUUCAUGAAAGUUUAAGGUGGUAGAACAGUCAGUUUAAUUGGAGUUACUUCCAGGGUCAUGGGCACCUGGCAGGCGGCUAUACCACUCUAUGGCUUGGCACUCAAAUCGUGUCUUGAAGGAGAUGCUAUCUCUUCUAGAUCUAACCUCCUCUAGAACAAAUACACCCUUAGGGCAGAGACCAAAUGCUUUCCUAAAAGACAAGCACACUGGAGGCCUUUAGUAAGUUUGCUUUGUUCAUACAUAGGUCAACUGUCCUGGACCAAGGGAGUCCUGGGAGGUAGGACUUAAGUGCCAGAACCUGAACAGCAAAGUCUGCCCUAUCUAUCGGCUCGUCUGUUGGUUCAGAUGUUGUGCAAACCUACUUAGUUUCCAUAGCUAAGUUUUAAGUGACAUGAGUUUUCACCUCUGUUGAUGAAUUUUGUCUCAUCCACUGAUGUACUCCAAACAGCCGACAGGGCAGAGCAUGUUGUACGUGAUUAAUGGAUAAAUUUGAAUGAAUGAAAACAUUGACCACCAUUUCUAAGCAUGAGCAAAGGUCUAGGGUAGCAAACAUCCAGGCCAUUUUGUUGUCAUCUUUCAUCAAAGCUUCUGCUCAGCAUCAACACUCAGUCACAACAUUGAGUCUUAGAUGAGAAAGACAGACAACACCAUGAUACUACAAUUAAAAAUACACUGAGGUAGGUGAAUCAUGCCUGUAAUUCUAGAACUCAGGAGGCUGAAGCAGUAGGAUUGCUGAGAGUUUAAGAGCUAUAGAGUUAAUUUCAGAAGAGUUGGGCCUGUGGAGUGAGACCCUGCCAGAAAAAAAAUGUUCCUGAUGUGACAGAAAUAACCAAGGGGCACAGAGGAGUCACAUUGGUAAGAGAGGCUGUAAGACAAGCUACACCUCACUUAUUCUCUUUCUGUUGGGUUCUUCACAUUAGGGGCCUGACACACAGGAAGUAGGCUAUGAUGAUGAAGAUUAUAUUUAUACAUACUUAUGACCCGUAGUGACUACUUCAUUCCCCCUUCCUUCUUUCUUUCUUUCCUUCCUUCCUUCUCUCUCUCUCUCUCUCUCUCUCUCUCUCUCUCUCUCUCUCUCUCUCUCUCUCUCUCUCUCUCUCUCUUUCUCUCUUGCUUGCUUGCUUUCUCCCUUGUUUCAAUAAGGUCUUGCUGCAUAGUUCAGGCUAGCCUCAACUCUCCAACCUCCCUGCCUCAGCCUCCUAAACAGUAGGAUUUUAUGAACGCACCACUGCACUGGAUUCAUACGUUUUGUGGUUGUUGGUGGUGAGGGUUUCUUUCUUUGCCUUUUGUCAUUGUUUUUGAGACAGGGUCUCACUAUGUAGCUCUGGCUGGCCUGGAACUUGCUAUGUAGUUCAGUCUGUAUUGGAACUCACAGAGAUCUGCCUGCUUCUGAUUCACGUGGUUCUGAAAAACUGAUGGCUUUUGUUAUGGAAGUCAAAAUAUAGGCUCUAAAAAUGCCCCAGUGUUUCUAACUCAUUAAUUCUGAAAACCCCUCACACUAUGAUUAUUAUUUCAUACAACUGCAGACAACAUCACACUACUGAAGAUGAAAGUCAGCUGGCUGGGUUUGAGCCUAAGCAGCCAGCCCAGGAGAGAGGACAGACGGCUGACAUUCAGCAGCUGUGUGUUUUAGAACAGCAACAGCCUCAAAGUACCAGAUGCUUCUUCAGCAACUGGCACAUGACCUGACACAAAGACACCUACAAGAGGCUCGUAGGAUUCUAUUAUAGCACGAUGACGACGACGACGACGAGUCUGCCACGCUCGGGCUUUUUACUCGUACUCUGCAAGGACAAUGGUACAUGACAUGAACUUUACGAUUCUGUCUGAUUCCUCAUCUACACAGGUCAAAGACUGAGCAAGUGCUAGCUGACACUUACGCUUUUGGCCCGUAUUGAUGGAGCACAGGCUUCCUAGCUGUGAAGAGAGAGUCAGGUGACCACCAGGAAGUUUAACACUGCAGGAUUCAGGCACGUUUUUACCUCUGCUCCCAUUCAGUCCACUUACAGGUCCCUUGUACUCCUCACCCCAAACAGAUCUCCAAUCUAACCGUUUUGAUUGUCACUGGUCUUGUGGAAAGUCCUGGUUGACCAACGCAGUAGCCCACAACAAAUUGAGUUGAAAUGAUGCACUUAAAAAAUGUUUACAAUUACAAUUAAAAAGAGAAAAAUGGUACCAGUUGAAAACUGGGACUUCUCACCUUGCCCUGCUAACAUCUCCUUCUGAAGUCACAGGAAUUCCAAUCAUCUCAACACACGGUUGCACUUACAAAGCACCCAGAUAAACCACAUGGAAUUUUAGUCCUUGAAAACCUAGAAAAGUGGCUGGAGGUGAUGGCACUUGUCUUUAAUUCUAUUGCCCUGGGAGACAGAGGUAGGAGGACUACAAGUUCAAAGCCAUCUUAGGUUAUUUUGCAAGACCCUGACUCACAAAACAAGCACCAAGUUUGGUUCGGGAAAACCAAAUUUCCAUACCUUUGAACAGCUCACAAGGCAAAGAUCUUCUUGCACAUAUCAAAUCUUUGGUAAGACAGUUUUGUUUUGUUUGAGACAGGGUCACACUAUGCAGUCCUGGAUGGCCAGGGAUGAACUAGACAGACUAGACUGGCCUGGAACGUUCAGCAGUUGCUCUGCCUUUGCCUCCCAGGUGCUAGGUUUACAGGUGUCUGCUACCUUAUAGAUGUUCACAGUGACCAAAUUUCUGUCUAGGACCCAAAUGCUUUACUCAAGACAGAAGGUGGAAAGUAGAUUUUUGACAAACACCUGUGUGUAAAGUGCUGUCUGCAGAGGUUCAAGUGUUGUCUUUCAGGCGUCACAUUUAAAACCCAUGCCAGCCCUUCCAAGGCCGUGCACUUUUUCUUCCUACCAGCAUGUGAAUGUGGAAGUCCAGACUCUGACAGGGUAAGCGAUACGACAGGCUCACACCAUUAAUGCCAUUUAAAGUUGGGCACUUCACUGCCAGGGUUCCCAGGCUCCGGGGGAUAGCCUCACAUCCAUGCACAGAAGGGCACCAAGAACUGGGCUUAGUGGGCUGUAAAAAAAUAUUAGGUUAGGGCGCCGGAGAGAUGGCUCAGUGGUUAAGAGCACAUGCUCUUCUUUCAGAGGACCCGGGUUCAAUUCCUAGCACCCACAAGACAGCUCACAGCUGUGUGUAACUCCAAGAUCUGACACCCCCACACAGACAUACAUGCGGGUAAGACACCAAUGCACAUAAAAUAAAAAUAAACAUAAAGUUCGGUCUUGGUUUGUUUUGAGACAGGGUCACUAAUAUUACAUAUUAUCCUUCCCAAAAUGCUAACAUGAACUUGGAACCAUCCUCAUUUUUUCUUUCUUUCAGGUUUUGACUUUACCUUUUCUUUCAAACUUGGAAAACUUCUUCCCCAAGUGACCACUUCAGACACUACUCAAACAGUUGUGCUCAUUCUAACUGAAUUGCUAGGUCUUUUCUGUAGACAAAUUUUCUCAUCGGGACCCCCAGCUUACAAAUAAUGUCACAGAGACUUAUUACUAAUUAUUAAUGCUUGGCCUUAGCUUAGGCUUGCUCCUAACUAGUUCUUAUAACUUAAAUUAACUCAUAUUUUUUAAUCUAUGUUCUGGCAUGUGGUUCAUUAUCUCAUCUCCAUACUGCCCAUCCUGCUUCCUCCUCUUCUGGCUGGCAACUCUGUCUUUCUCCUUCCCAGAGCGCUCUCUGUCCCCAGAAGUCUCGCCUAACCUCUUCCUGCCUAGCUAUUGGCCCAUUCAGCUUUUUAUUAAACCAAUCAGAAGGCACCUUGGCAAAAACACAUUUUCACAGUAUAAACAAAUAUUCUGCAAUACUUUUCUUUGUGUGUAUUUAUGUAUUCUUAUAUAUGUUGUUUUUAUUAUAAAUAGCACUACUGUACUUUGUAGACAUUUACUAUCCCUGUGGGUGGUACGGGGCACUGAACCCAGGGCCUUGUGUAUGCUAACAAGUACUCUUACCUCUGAGCUACACCUCCAGACCUCUAUACUAUUUAAUAAUAUUUAGGUGACUAGAGAAUUGUGAUUUCAGACUUCUGUGUGCGUUAACAAUAGAGAGCUUAUUAAAAAUGGAUUUCCAGGGGUUGGGGAUUUAGCUCAGUGGUAGAGCGCUUGCCUAGCAUGCACAAGGCCCUGGGUUCAGUCCUCAGCUCCGGAAAAAAUAAAAAAAAAAAUAAUAAAAAAAAAUAAAAAAAAAAUGGAUUUCCAGGCUGGAGAGAUGGCUCAGUGGUUAAGAGCACUGACUGCUCUUCCAGAGGACCUGAGUUCAAUUCCCAGCAACCAUAUGGUGGCUCACAACUAUUGUAAUGAGAUCUGAUGCCCUCUUCUGGCCUGCAGGCAGACAUACAGGCAGAACACUGUAUACAUAAUAAAUAAAUAAAUCUUUAAAAAAUGGAUUUCCAACCUUUUCUCCAUAUUGAUAUAGUGCAUUAGAUAGCCUGUUAUGCCUAGAUCACAAGGACCCCCCAAAUCCCACCAUGGAGACCAAAUCCCAUAUGUAAAAGCAAAGAGCCUUUAUUUCAAGCUCAAGCUUGGUCUCUCUGUCUGUCCAACACAGCCGUGAGAGCAUAGGCGGGCAGGGUUUUUGUCAUAGCAGAGGUUGGGGUGAGGGGAUUUCCAGGAUUCAGGACCCUGAUUGGUUGACAUUUGUCUAGGAGUACCUUGGUCAAAAGGAGAAAUAGGUGUGUGGUAGGCUCAGGGACAUUUGGCUAUCUUAUCUAGUGGUUGGAAAGUUUGAGAUGUCAGAUUCUUCCCCUUAGAUGUUGGCCCAUCCAGGGUGGAUCUCUGGGUAGUGUCAGCUUAUGGCUUUUCCUAGAUCUGGGUGUUGCCUCCCAGUAAGCCUGUCAUGGCAGCUGUGUGGUCAAGCUGUUUUGGGUCCCCUCACAGAGUCUGCAUUUCAAAUAGUUGCCUCAAGGAUUCUGACACUAGGAAUCCAGUAACCACACUUUCAGAAAAUAUUGAAAGCUGAAAUGAUAUUGUAUUAUACUGCCUAUCUAUUUCAGUAGAGGCUAGGAGCAAUAAAGUAAGCCAUGUCUGGCUUGUUGGUGCUUCCAAAUCUUCAGAGGAGAAGGGGCAUACUAUCAUCUGGGAGAUGAGGUGGCAGGUCCUGUGAGGAAUAUAGGUAAUACCUACAGUUGGAACACUAAGAAGGGAAGCAUCCCCUCAGGGCAGAUUAUUGUGAAUACCUUCACAGAAGGUAGGUGUCUAGCUGGGCUUUGAAGAAAAGACGUUUUCAACAAAUGGGGAUGAGGUGGGUCGUUUCAAGAAGGUGGGAUAGCACUAAGUGUCAGGAAGCAAGGUCACUUUGUGGGAUACUGUGCCUGAACCGGAAAGGAAAAAAGUACAUAUAGUGGGAUUUGCACCUGGCAAGUUGGGACUCAGACUGAAUUUGGACUCUAUUGUGUGGGUACCAGUCCAUAACACGAAGAGCCAUAGGCAACUAAGGAAAUGCUGAGAGCUGGGGAAACAGUCUCCACGAAGACCACACUAAUCCAAGGCCAAA